UUAAGAUCAUAGAAAUUACAUUAAAUAUGUGUAUAUAGAAUGUUAUAGAAUUCUAUAGAAACUAGUUCCUCUAUAAAACAAUUUUAUAGAAUAUAAUUUCUAUAGAAAUUGAUUAAUCUCUAUAGAAGGUCUAUAUAGUUCUAUAGAUUUUUUCUGUAAGUGUACUUUCUAAGCCUUUGAAAAAUCUAAAUUGUCAUAUUUUUGGGAGAUUUUCCCUGCUUCCCUAUUCUGCUGAAAUAAUUAAAAAAAAAUUAUAUUAUGAAAGUCCUGGCAGUAUAAUUAACAUUACAUAGCCAAAGUCUAGGCCUAUACUAAAUCAUGGUGUAUAAUAAAACAUACAACUUUAAAACACAAGUUUAACCAUUGAGGAAAAAAACAAGCUAACAAUAACAGGUGUUGUCAUUUAAUCUGUUCAGCCAACCACAGAUAAUCUCAAAUUACUUAAUUUGAUUGGUCACUUUAUCCAUGUUUAUCACUGAAGGCCAUGGAAAUUAACAAAGGUGCUUUUGAAUGUUAUCAGUUAACUGAAAUUUGUUAGUGGUUUUAGAGCUCUUUUUCAGUGCACAUUUAUGAUGAUGAAACAGGCAGUUUAACCGUAUUUUCUGAAGUAUUUCAGCAGUACUAAUAGAAUUUGUUGGUAAAGGAUUUUUUUUUCUUUAAGUGAAAACUCAUGAAAUAAGAAGGUGUUAAUGUUUGUUUAAAGCAUUAUUGCGGCAGUCGGAGAAAGGAAAUUACCUGACUUUCAAAGCAUGUGAAGCAAGGGUGAAAAUCUGAAGCCAUCAUGAUUCAAUAUUUCAAAACUAGUUUGGUCACUCUGCAGAAUUCACAACGGCAUCUUUCAGCAAGAUUUCCAAUUUGCUUAGCUACCAUUGGACAAGAAAAAGCACGGAUAUAGACAGCUCAUACAGAAAAUUGCUGGUUUAUACACAACUGUAACGCGACAGAUUUUUGAACAGGGUUUUGUAUAGUAAACUCUAGUUGAGGCUUUAAAUUACAGAAAAAAAAAAUCUGAUUUGAAGACUGUAAAGCAUUUAGGUAACGCUGGAAUUUGAAGUAUGUGCAUCAGUAAGGCUUAAGACGAACAAUAUUAUGUGAAGGGGUAUGCAAGUUAUCGAGACCCUAGGGAUUAAUAUCCCUACCCCAUGAUGCAUACAGUAGUUGAUGUUUUUAAUUAAAGAAAUCAUGGUUUGUA